AUUCCAUUUUUCAUUUUUCUGACUUCUUCAUUAUUUUUCCUUCUUCUUCUUCUUCUGCCUUUCUGUCUUUUCUCUUUCGUUUUUCUGUCUUUCUAUCUUCCUCUUUUCCUUCUUCUUCCUCUUUUACUUCUUCUGACGCUUUUUCUUCAAAACCUUUUUCUGUCUUCUUCCUCAUCAAACCCUCUUUUUCUUCUCCCUUCCAUUUUUCAUUUUUCUGACUUCUUCAUUAUUUUUCCUUCUUCUUCCGUCUUUCUGUCUUUUCCUUCUUCUUUCGCUUUUUCCUUCAAACCUUUUUCCUUCGUUCUUCUUCUUCCUUUUUUAGUUCAUUAUUCUUCAUUCUUUUUCCGUUUUUGGUUCUUCAUUCUUUUUCUGUGUUUCUGUUGAAAGAAGAAGCAGUUGAAAGAAGCUUUAGAAUAAUAGAGAAGCGUCAAAGGUACGAAAUAGAAGAAUAUAAUGAUGAGACGAAGUAAUGGAUUGAAAGCUUCAGGGAUAACUGGAAGAGGAACUAGAUAGACUGAUGAGGUUCUGAAGAGGAAACAAAGGGAACAAACUCCCAAAUGGAAGUGGGGUCAGUUGAAAGAAUAAAAUUAAAAGGAAUGAAGAAGAGAGAAAGAUAUGAAGUAAUACGUGGUGUGACUGAAACCAAAAAAAUUGAAGACGAAGAGUAUAAAACAACCAGAAGAAGUUAAAAGAAAGGGAAAAGAAGUUAUGGACGAAGAAAACAAAGAUCAUAGUAACGAGAUGGAAGAUACGAAAGAUAAUAUAGAAGAAAAAGAGCAAGAAGAAAGCAAGAAAGAGAUUGCGGAACAAUCAGAAAGCAAUGGAGAAAUCAUUUCAAAACCAACCUUGAAGGCAAGAGUUAAAAAAGAUCUUGAAAGAUCAAGGAAGACUAAACAAGGUUCAGAAAAAGUUGUUAGUAGAGAAAGAACUGAGGUUUGUAAUAGCCCUCUAUUAUAAGUAAUAUUUUUUUAGAAAUAUUUUUUUGUGAAUUAUAUUGAGGGUGGUUGGCUGAAUAUCUAAUGUUACGUUCGGAUAAAUUUAAUUAUAGAUUACUUAUUAUUGAAUUGCAUAUAUUUGUGUUUGAAAUGACUGGAUGUAUGAGAACUGAUUAUAUUGUUUAUGUUGUGACUGACUUCAUAAUUAUAGAUUACGUAUUAU